rnacentral:tRNA from 2 species
GUGCCCGUAGCUCAAUGGAUAGAGCGACAGACUCCGGAUCUGUAGGCUGAAGGUUCGACUCCUUUCGGGCACA